rnacentral:rRNA from 1 species
CGGGUGAGUAACACGUGGGUUACCUGCCCCGAUGAUCGGGACAACCCGAGGAAACUCGGGCUAAUACCGAAUGUGCCCUCCGGCCAUAAGGCCACUGGGGAAAGGAAGCUUCGGCCUCCGCAUCGGGAUGGGCCCGCGGCCCAUUAGCUUGUUGGUGAGGUAACGGCUCACCAAGGCGACGAUGGGUAGCUGGUCUGAGAGGACGAUCAGCCACACUGGGACUGAGACACGGCCCAG